UACGUAGGGGGCAAGCGUUGUCCGGAUUUAUUGGGCGUAAAGAGCGUGUAGGCGGCUAGAUAGGUCCGUUGUGAAAACUCGAGGCUCAACCUCGAGACGUCGAUGGAAACCAUCUGGCUAGAGUCCGGAAGAGGAGAGUGGAAUUCCUGGUGUAGCGGUGAAAUGCGCAGAUAUCAGGAGGAACACCGGUGGCGAAGGCGGCAUCCUGGACCGGCAUUGACGCUGAGGCGCGAAAGCCAGGGGAGCAAACGGG
rnacentral:rRNA from 1 species